UACUGUUCACAAGCCGUUUAAGCCAUUUAACUAAGCCAAGCCGCGUUAUCUUAUAAGUCUGACCAUUACAGUGCUUCAGUACAAUUCACGCAACCAUGUCUCAUUAAUGCUGGUUGGACUAACUCACCAUUUCUUCUCUCUGACAUUUUAUCUCUCUUCCAUUGCUUCUUCACUCCAUUUCACACGCAACCACCAUGUCUGUUUACUCUACAGAUUUUUUUUUUUUAUCUUCUUGUCAAUUUUUUUUCUCUUUUUGUGUCUUUCUCUCUCGCUAUUCUCUCUGCUCUAAUUGGUGGCAGUUAGAUCUGUACGAGGAAUUCCCAUGGAGAUGUCCUAAAGAUGGAAUUAGAUACAAGCAAAUUGUAGAAAGGAAGAGGCUAUAGAUGUUUCUAAUUGGACUCAACAAAAAUCUUGACGCUAUUUGAGAUAGAAUUCAAGGAACAAAACUACACCCUUAACCUUCGAGAAGCAUUUUCUGAUGUCCGACUUAAAGAGAGCAGAAAAAGUCCUUUUUUUUUUUUUUUAGUCCGACUACAAGAAAAUAAAUGCAAUAGUUGUGUUUAAAAUUUGCAAUUCAUGGUUUCUUUUUGAUGUCUUUCACUGCUAGGCCGUAUGUUAUAGUAGCCUGUUUUAAAUGGAAGGAAGAAUUGUGUUAAAAAAAAAAAGAAGUUCUCUCUGCUCUAAUUUCUUGACAUCUUGUGCAGAUCUUUUGGCUAUGAAUCCUAGGUAUGGUGGAUAGGUUUACCGUUUGUUUCCAUAUCUGCAAGAUGUUUUUGGGCUUUACGAUUUUUUUCUCGUCCUUCUCUUCAUGAUUUCUUUCUUCAGAUCGCAGAACUGGAACCCUAACUUCCAAAAUUUGUAUGCAUUCAAGCAGGUAAAGGUAUAUACUCUCCGAUGAAGUUUGGGAAACAGCUAUGCCUCGAACAUAGCAUUAGCAAAGAAGGCAUUCUUGAAGAUUUCGCUACUCAGAAAAUUAGGACUCUGGAGCUAGAUGGGAAGAUAAUUAAGCUUCAAAUUGUGAGUUAAUUUGACUUAAUGACUACUCCAUAGUUAUGAACAUGAGUUAAUUUGAUCUAAUGAAUACUGUAUCGUUGUGAAUUUAUAAAAACAUGUAUAUGAAUAUUAUUUUAGCUGUAUGUGCUAUUCCUUUAUGAUGGUUUUGCUACCUGUAAUAUGUGCUUCAUGCAAAUAAGUAUCAGAAAAAGAAAUCAACAGCUCUUAGUUACUCUUUUUCUCAAAUGAUACUACUUGUGUCAAAUUGAAAUGCUAACAGAAAUAUUUUAUGGCACCUGGAUAGUCUUACAUAGGUUCAAGUGUAGAAAUUAAUUUUAAAUUAUAUCUUUACUAAUUUCUAUGA